rnacentral:lncRNA from 1 species
CGCGUGUGUUGUAGCUCUGUCAAUCCUUGGAUUAGAACCAAUGAUUGCAGCUCGUAGGAGGGCUGUCCAGGGCCAGAUUGUACGAUGUGUCUCACUGCCAGAGUAUGAGGAGAGAUAAUUACUGAGAAGUCACACUCUCCCAUCCUUGGCUUUCUUGUGGUGUCCUUCAGCAAAACAGUGGAUUUAAAUCUCCUUCCACCAGCUCGAGAGCAACGCAAUCUGUCAGGAAAGAAAGAAAGAGAAAACCGAACCUGACAAAAAAGAAGAAAAAGAAGAAGAAAAAAAAUCAUGAAAACCAUCCAGGCAAAAAUGCACAAUUCUAUCUCUUGGGCAAUCUUCACGGCGCUGGCUGCUCUGUUUCUCUUUCAAGGCUCAGUCCCAGCCCGACUUGGACUCCGGAGGUGUCUGCAGUUGCAAGCCAGGAGGAGAGGAUGGAGCCUGGAGGCGGUGGCGGUGGUAGCUUCUGGCUUCCAGGGAUGGAUUUAUCACCACGUUGCUGACGAAUGUGUGAGAAACACUGCGGUGAUAAAGCAGCACCUGCCGUAAUUAAAAGAUUCAGAGGAUCCCAGAACAAGAUAAGACAAGAUGAGCCAUGAAAAGCAGUGCAGAAGAAAGUUGUCUCACCUUGUAGCUGCUGAGGCAGAAUGAG